rnacentral:lncRNA from 1 species
ACUGUCUGUAUGCAACGAGACAGAAGAAAAGGAACGCAGAAUGCAGCACAGGGCCCUGGUGCCUGCCCACUCUGCUUGGCUGGGAUGCUCUUGCUCUGGUCCCAAGGAAGACUCCAAGCUGGCUGGUGGGAUAUUACCAGGAGAAAUUCUUCCUUUCCAGAGGAAAAGAACACAGGAACAGUAACUGAAGCAGUGACCAAUGGAGAGGCUGCCCCUGGAACUGCCCCGGCUUCAUCCCAGCAAUGCCCCGAAGCGAUCUUAGCCCUGCCCUGGCUCUCUUUGAGCCUCAGAAAGUGUCGGGAAGCCUCUGGGAAGGUGAGCAUUAUCCAGGCUGAGCCGCAGCCGGACGCACGGCCACCUCGCAUGAGCUCAGCAGGAUGCCGAAUGACGCCGCGCAUUCCGGGGACAGAGGGAGUCUGGAGCUUCGUAAUGGAUUUCCGAGAAAAUUGCCUCUGUGUUUGGAGUAGGAGUGCAACGAGUGCGGGCGGAACAGCCUUCCUUUCUAAGUGGCAUCUCAAGGGUCUUAAUUAUUUCUCAGGAGUGGAAGCAUUUAUUUAGGCGGCUUUGGAGAGGUCCUGACGCUUUUGGCUACUGCCCUCCGGGCACAUCCUGUAUGCAAGGCUCCUCUACAAUCCUCCCUGCUGCUCCCGGGAUGUGCAGAGUGCUGGACUUGGGCAAAGCACAAACACCCAACCGCGUCACCUGCGGGCAGGACACCGCCUCGGCUCCAUCCCCUCCUGCUUCCUGGGAGCAGGACAUCUCAUGGGAGAGCCCAGCCCCAUCCCGUCCCUGCUUUGCAACCCUCACAUUCCCAGGUCUCAAAACAAAACCCCGUUGUGAUAAUCCAGCCCAGCUAAUGUGAAACAGAUGAAUCCCCACAUUAGUCACAGAUUCACAUUUUCCCACAAAGGUCCCACUGGAGAACCAGUGGGGAUGGGCCCUGCGGGGUUCCAGCCCUGCUGCUGGUGCAAGAGGCAGCGUGUGCAGAGUGAGGCCACAGCCGAGGGGACAGGGCAGCAGCACAGACCCUGCCAGAACCCGGCC